GUAUAAGUGCGAAGUUGGACUACGAUUGGACGAUGAUACGUCGGUAAUUCAGAACGUGAGACACGAAGUCCCACCGCCGACGAGGUACAGAAUAUUUUUGUAUCACAUGCGAUAUUAUCGAUCCAGAAUAGUAGUGGUUUGGAUUGAAAUUAUAUUUUCAUAAAACUAAAUUUUUCCUUCAAAAAUUGGACGCGUAAAUUAUAAACAUUAUAGUUUACGAUUCAAAUGUGAAUGAUUAACUGGAUUGUGUAUGACUAAUCGUUUCUUUGAUCUUUUAUCGACGGAUCAUCGACGGAUCCUAUCAGUCUCGAAUAUCGCUGUGCAAUAACUUAGAUAAAAUUAACUUUAAUUACAAAAAUUAUUGUAUAAUUUCUUAAAUUCAAUCAAUAAAUAGGUCUUUUUAAAGCGAA